AUUGAACGCUGGCGGCAGGCCUAACACAUGCAAGUCGAACGAGUGGCGGACGGGUGAGUAAUGUCUGGGAAACUGCCUGAUGGAGGGGGAUAACUACUGGAAACGGUAGCUAAUAACGCCUACCAUCAGAUGUGCCCAGAUGGGAGUAGCUUGUUGGUGGGGUAACGGGCCACCAAGGUGACGAUCCCUAGCUGGUCGGAGAGGAGGACCAGCCACACUGGAACUGAGACACGGUCAGGAAGCCUACGGGAGGCAGCAGUGGGGAAUAUUGGACAAUGGGCGCAAGCCUGAUCCAGCCAUGCCGCGUGUAUGAAGAAGGCCUUCGGGUUGGAAAGGACUUUCAGCGGGGAGGCGUUACCCGCAGAAGAAGCACCGGCUAACUCCGUGCCAGCAGCCGCGGUAAUUC
rnacentral:rRNA from 1 species